AUGGCGGCGAUCGCCACCCAUGUGCAGCAUCCACCGGUAGCCCUCUCACGCUGCGGACCGCCGUCCAACCCCUUCCUCCGCUUCGCCCCCUCGCCGUCCGUGCUCCUCCGGUCCCGCGCCGCGGCGACGCCUCCCCUGGCUCCCAUCGGCGCGCGCGGCAAGGAUGACGACCCCAUCUCAUACCCGGAGCCCCGUAACAGUUCGCUCGGUCUCUCCCCCCUGCUCGUCGCCGUGGCAGCGGCGGCGACCCCGCAGGCCGCGCUGGCCCUGUCCGGCGGCUCCGGCGGCGGGUGUGACGACUCCUCCAGUUCGUCGUCGUCCUCCUCUUCCUCGUCCUCAUCCUCGUCCUGCGAUGACUCCACUACCGACUCCAUAGAUUGGUCAUCCACGUCCUUCUCCUCUAAGCCGAAGAAGAAGGAGGGGGCCGAGGCGACUCACGAGUUGGUCGGCACAGCGGCAGCUCCUCCGCUUGGCUGGAGCUCUGACUAG
rnacentral:rRNA from 1 species